UGUGAACUGCAGGACACAUGAACAUCGACAUUUUGAACGCAUAUUGCGGUCCAUGCAAAAGUUUAAAUUUUUUUGUUUAAACUGCAUGGACCACGUAUGGUUGACUGUCGUAAAUAUUAAGCAAUUGUAAUUGUUUUUAUACACACAUUUGUAUAAAACAUUGGAGCUAUGGAAUUAUAUUUCAUGCUCUUAAUAUAUAUAGUUUUUAAAGCACAUUUGAAUGUACCCAAUGUAUAAUAUUAAAAGUUGAAAUAUAUAUAAGGGGUAUAUCAUAGUCAUUGGAAUAAUUUAUCUUAAAGACAUAUUGUUAUACAGAAAACCUUAUUAUUAUAGAAGAAACUUUUAAUAAAAUGGGAUUAUUCAAUAUAAUGUGGUACAAUAAUUUAAUAUAUUAUUGCGAUCUCAACUCAUACGUGACUACCCCCUGAAUUUAAGCA
rnacentral:rRNA from 1 species